GCUAGUAUUACUCUAUGAAGUGAAUAUAAUGUCCGGUCAAAAUUAUACAGUUUAAAAAAAUAAAAAAUACAAAAAUGUAAAACCUACCCUAUUCUAAACUAAUCGUAAACUAAACUCCACCCGACAUUCUGGGCCUUGAUCAUGCGUCGUCUUCAAGUACAACUUUUCCGGAACAUUCUUCGAAUAAAACAAUACAAAUACCUCAGGGCAUUCCCCAGCCAAAUGAGUAAAAUUAAGUCAAAUGUGAUAAAACAAAAUCAUUCAACACACAUUUCAAACAUUCCAUCAAUCAACAAUCCCUAAAUUUUUCUAACCAACCUAUCAUUUGCCGACCCAUUUGACGGUCUAAUAGUGAUACUAUCGCAAAUAAUAUCAAUAUUUGUUCUGAAAAAACCAACAACAACAAAUCAAUAUUAAUUUUAUCAAUUUCCAAUCUCCGACCCCAAAUUAAACGAUCUUAAUUCUCAAGCGGGAUAUCCUUCAUCAUAUAGUUCAUAAUCAAAGAAUCAACAACAAACCCACACGACCAAUUAUUCGCCGACAAUAAAGAUCAAACAAUACACAAACAUUCAAUCUCAAACACUAAAUAUCAUAGACAAUAAAGUACAAAGAGAAAGAGAGAUGAAUUGGACCUCAAUUGACGAUUGAAAAUCGAGUAUCACUCAAUCGAAUAGACAGAAUUCGUGCCAAAGAACCUCGAAUUAGCCUCAACAAGUGAACCAACUUGAAUCGAGAAAUAUAACCCAGACAGAUUCGACCCAGCAAGAGAACUCAACACGAACCCCAAAACUAACAAAUAAUGAGAUGACUCAACCAUGAAAACCCCUAAGAAAUCUGAUUUGAACUCAAUUUCUCAAAGAAGAUGAAUCCCGAAAACGACAUAUAAAAAUUCAAGUGGAAUACAAACACAUAUACAGUUUGAAAUUGAUUUUUGGGAAGAUUGGUUCUGCUGAUGUCAUAUUUCGGCUGCUUUCGUUGAAACAGUGAUAAAUGGUCACUGAGGCGUCUCCCGAUGGCUAACCAAACGAUGUUCCGAUGGAUUUCCGGUGAGCAACUCGUCGUUAAUCGAUCUCUCUGUUUUUCCCUUCAUUCCCUUCUCCCAUGGAUCCUUUUUUUUCAAGUUUCUGUGUGUGAGAGUUGAGGUUUUUGUGUGUGUCGAUGAGUGUAUUGAAUUUUUUAGAUGGUGCAUCUCUAUUUUUGCUAUAUGAGUGUGUGUAUAUAAUACUCUUGUCUUUAUCGUCACUGGGUGUGUCUAUAUCUGUGACUGGGGUAUGUAUAUUGUUGUUGUAUAUGAGGUGUGAGCAUGUG
rnacentral:lncRNA from 1 species